CCUACGGGAGGCAGCAGUGGGGAAUCUUGCGCAAUGGGCGAAAGCCUGACGCAGCCAUGCCGCGUGAAUGAUGAAGGUCUUAGGAUUGUAAAAUUCUUUCACCGGGGACGAUAAUGACGGUACCCGGAGAAGAAGCCCCGGCUAACUUCGUGCCAGCAGCCGCGGUAAUACGAAGGGGGCUAGCGUUGCUCGGAAUUACUGGGCGUAAAGGGAGCGUAGGCGGAUAGUUUAGUCAGAGGUGAAAGCCCAGGGCUCAACCUUGGAAUUGCCUUUGAUACUGGCUAUCUUGAGUAUGGGAGAGGUAUGCGGAACUCCGAGUGUAGAGGUGAAAUUCGUAGAUAUUCGGAAGAACACCAGUGGCGAAGGCGGCAUACUGGCCCAUUACUGACGCUGAGGCUCGAAAGCGUGGGGAGCAAACAGGAUUAGAUACCCUGGUAGUCCACGCUGUAAACCGAUGAGUGCUAGUUGUCGGCAUGCAUGCAUGUCGGUGACGCAGCUACGACAUAAGACACUCCGCCGUCGGGUAGGUACGGUCGCGAGAAUUAAACGUAACGAAGAAGUAGACGGCGUGAGACGUGCCGACGGACGACGACGAGGGAGGAGG
rnacentral:rRNA from 1 species